GAAGGUUUAAGUUUCCUCUGGUCCCAGGAAUUCAGCUAGCUAGCUAUCAAACUAUUCUGAACACCUGCCAACACAACUGGAGAUCGAAGAAAAGAAUAGAAGCAACUCUAUGAGCAGAAAAUCGACCACUUUCUGCAAGUGGGUUCCGUCCGCCACCCUGCCUUCGCCACAGGGUCAGAAGACGCUCAGUCCUUUGCAUCUGGCACUCCUCAGCAAGCUCCUCCUAGAGUAUGACAGCCCAGCGCCUGUCUUGGCGAUGUCACUGGAAACACCCCUGGAUCACUGGGGUAUUCACCAGCCUUCCAGUAUGUCAUUACACUGCGGAUAAAUCACUUGUAAUUGAAGAUUAUGUGGAAGAUUCUCAAUUGCACAGUUAAAUGGAUUUUGAAAUAUGGAGGUGUUCUUUCCACUUGCAGUGAUGUCUGACAAACUCUGCUGGAACUGUAUGUGGUUUGAGCUCAGAAAAUGUAUCUACUACAAAUUUAUGUAGGAAUGGACAUCUUGCUUCUUGUUUUAUUUUUGACAGCACAGGAAGUGUAAAAAGCAGCUUGAUAUUACUUGUGAUUCAAAAUUUGUUAAAAUGAUUUCAUCAGAGAAUAAAUUUCACAUAUAAACACCAUUUUGUCUUGUACUUUUACACUGACUUCAUUAAGAAACAGUAUCAAGGGGCUUCUGGGUGGCUCAGUCAGUUAAGUGGCUGAAUCUUGGUCCUGGCUCAGGUCUUGAUCUCUGGGUCAUAAGUUCAAGCCCCACAUUGCGCUCCAUGCUGGUCGUGGAGCCUACUUAAAACAACAGCAACAACAACAAAAAACACCCCAGUAUCAAGUCUGCAACCAAAAGCUAAUUUCCAAAGUCAUUCAGUGUUUAAUAAGAGUAGUUGAGGGCAGUUCUUGUUUAGAAAAAUUUUAAUCUCAGCCCCAAGCUCAAAAACAUUGCAAACUGAAAAUGAUAGUAGGGCAAGUCAAGAUACUCAGUGUCUAUUUCUGAUGAAAAUUCCCAAACAAAGUUCACCAUUGACAUUACUGGUUCACGAAUACGUGACAGAUUCAAAUAUUUUCCACAAAGUAUCUGCCAUUGAAUAAUACGAUGAAUAACCAUAGGCUUUAAACACCUGAAAUUUUCACAAGCUUUGUAAAUUUGCUGAUCUAAGCCCUUUUCUGCUCCACAUAUGUUUUUAUUACCAUUGGUGGUGACAUAUAUUAGCAGAUUCCAUGUCAGGUUGUAUUGAAUUAAUGUUUUCUUUUUAAAUAUUCUUGCUUCUUUUUAAAUAUUCUUGCCUCUAAUUGUCCCAUGCAGACUAUUUAUAAAGUCUAAUUCUUCAGUAAUUGCAAAUUCUGCAUUGGCUUCCUGAAUGAACAGCAACAACUGAGCAGCAUUAGUAAACAUUUACUGAAUCAUCAAGCCAAGGGAAAUCACUCAGAAUCAUGUGACUUGUUUUUAGAUUGAUUACUGAUAUUUCUCCCAGUGUUUUCAAGUCUUUGAGCAACUAUUCUCACCAAAACACUAAUUGUCUUUUUUUUCUUUAUUUUUAGUAAUCUCUACCUACGCGCAAUGUGGGACUCAAACUCAACCCUGAGAUCAAGAGUUGCAUGCUUCUCCGACUGAGUCAGCCAAGUGCCCCAAUACAAACUAAUAGUCUUAAACACAUUUUAGGUCUUACGGGCCAAGAGGCAAGAUCGUACAUAGAUAGAUUAUGUAGGUACUUACUUUCUAUGUACUUUUUUUUUAAUGAUAAAAUUAUUUGGGGAGAAACUACCAUGUUUCCUUGCUUGACAAGGGUAAAUCCCACCACAGUGGAAUUCAGUUGUUAAAAUGAGUGGCCACUGCUAUAGUUUACUCAUGUCAUUUGUGUACAAUCACCAAUUAGCAGGAAUGCCAGGGUUUCCAAAUGACUUGGUUUUCUUUUAAUCCCACUAAGCCAACAAUCACGUCACAUCACGCCAAAGCAGAAAAAUCACCAAAACAGGCCAAGAAAUGUUCACUGCUAAAGGGUUUCUUGUUGGUUUAAAUGUAAUAUUUACACGGAUUCUAAGUCUCUAGCUUGAGUCUGUUUGCUAUAGCAACCAACUUCAUGAAUGCCAACUAGCAAAUGUCUUCUAACGUGACAAUCACUUUUAAAACAAACCCUUAUUUGACUAUGAACACACACACCUUUAAACACAUGGCUUUAUUAUUUUUUUAAAGAAUGUGUGUAUUCAUUUGAGACAGAGAACAUGAGCAGGGGGAGAGGCAGAAAUAGACUCCCGGCUGAGCCAGGAGCCCAACGCAAGGCUUGAUCCCAGGACCUCGAAAUCAUGACCUGAGCUGAAGGCAGACACUUAACCAUCUGGGCCACCCAGGCGCCCCUAAACACAUAGCUUUCAACACUAUUGUUUGCACGCUCUGA